AGUUUGAAGAACCGUGUAAAACCCUUAACUAGAAAACCCCCUUUUGCCUUCGUUUCUUGACGCUGAUUUAUUCCGCAAAUCCUUUUCUUUUCCUCUCCUGCCCGAUAUCCCUCCUCCCUCAUAUAGAAUUCCAUCCCGUUUUCCAAUCUUCGGAGUCGCUAGAGUCUGCCCAAGCCAUUGCCUGUCUGCCAGUCGUCGGAGUCACUGGAGUCCUCCCAAGCCACCGCUCAUUUGUCGGUCAAUGCUCUUGGAUUUGUCACGCUUUUGAUCAUUCGAACAAUAGCUCACAAAUCAGAAUCACAUCUCGUUUACCAAUCGUUGGAGUCGCUGGAGGCCACCCAAGCCACCGCCCGUCUACCCGUCUGCCAGUCAUCGAAGUCGCCAGAGAUCGCCCAAGCCAUUGCCCAUCUGCCCAUCGAUGCUCUUAGAUUUGUCGUGCUUUUGAUCAUUCAAUCAAUAGAUCACAAAUCGGGGUCUACGGGUUGUCACAAUAAAAUGAAGACGAUGUCGAGCACUACAACUGGAUGCAACUUUUUUUUUUUUUUUUUUCUGCAUUUUUUGUUAUCUGAAGUGUAAAUAUGAUGUUUUCCAACAAUUUGUUAAUGGUUUUUUUAAAACUUUAUGAAUUUUUCCUUUAUUCUGGUUUA